rnacentral:rRNA from 1 species
AUUGAACGCUGGCGGCAGGCCUAACACAUGCAAGUCGAGCGGAUGACGGGAGCUUGCUCCUUGAUUCAGCGGCGGACGGGUGAGUAAUGCCUAGGAAUCUGCCUGGUAGUGGGGGACAACGUUUCGAAAGGAACGCUAAUACCGCAUACGUCCUACGGGAGAAAGCAGGGGACCUUCGGGCCUUGCGCUAUCAGAUGAGCCUAGGUCGGAUUAGCUUGUUGGUGAGGUAAUGGCUCACCAAGGCGACGAUCCGUAACUGGUCUGAGAGGAUGAUCAGUCACACUGGAACUGAGACACGGUCCAGACUCCUACGGGAGGCAGCAGUGGGGAAUAUUGGACAAUGGGCGAAAGCCUGAUCCAGCCAUGCCGCGUGUGUGAAGAAGGUCUUCGGAUUGUAAAGCACUUUAAGUUGGGAGGAAGGGUUGUAGAUUAAUACUCUGCAAUUUUGACGUUACCGACAGAAUAAGCACCGGCUAACUCUGUGCCAGCAGCCGCAGUAAAAC